AUUUUGAAGUUCAUAUAUAUAUUAAUAAAAAAAGAGUAUGUCAGCAGAAGAUGACAUAUUCCUCGCGGAAGCAUCGUCAAUAGCCGACCGAAAAAAAAAUAAAUAGCAGAAAAUUACCAUAUGUGUACACAUAGUGUACUGUAAGAACAAAAUAUCGAUAACUAUGUGUGACGUUUCUAAGGGGGGGGGGGGGAGGUCUCCAAAGAAACGAACAUAUGACGUUUCUCAUGGACAAAAUCGAUAUGUGAGGCUUCCCUUACGCUCUGCUGAAUACUGGCAUGUGUGAUGCACUCUCGCUGUGUGGACUUGAUGCAGCAGCCAAUCAUAUUAUUGAAUAUCAGCACGUGAUGGUGUUAUGCAACGCUAAUCUCUGAACCCUAUAUAAUCAUGUCCAUAUUUAGACUGCCAAACACGCAUGAUUGACACGUGCUGCAUGUGUGGGUGAUCCAGUGUAUUUAAUCAUACUUGCGUAUUUAUUCUGUGCUUGCGAGUGUACUACAAUAUUUUCAGUGUACUUAGUGUAGCAGCAGUAGCAUCUUAUACAGUCGCUAUAUAUAUAAAUGAGUAUACCGUCUAAAUAAUAUCGGAACUUAAUUGAAUGCCCGUAAUGAAUAACAUGAAUGCCUAGAAUUUCUCAAUAUUUACCUCUGAAAUAUUUAUACAUUUGAAAACAACACUGUCGCUCCUUCCUAGCUCUGCAUAAUGUCUAAUGAAUAUACCGUCUACAUAUAUCAGUACUUGAUUGAAUUUAGACCGUCAUGCACAACAUAAAUUCAUAUAUUGCGUAGAUUCUCAAAGAUUUACUCAAUAUUCAUGUCUGAAAUGUUUAUACAUUUGAAAACAACACUGUCGCUGCUUCCUAUAACAUCGUGAAUUCGUGAUCUACGGCUUCAUAGCGCAUGCGCAUUUGCGCUGCUAUAUGAAAAAAUCGGGCGUUCCGGGGGGAAGAUCCUUUACACAACAUGAGAGGCAAAUGUUUUAAAAUUACAAAAAUUUACAAUAACGACAACGAUUCCUCGAAAUUUUUGUGAACUUGGCAAAAGAACAAAAGAAUAUUUAAAUAAAAUAAAUAAAAUUGCUUAAAUAACCUUCAAAGCACUGACUAAGUACAAUAAAUCACUGCGAACAUAAACGUAUACACCCCCAGGAAAGUUUACUCUAUGACUGACUGACUGACUGUUUGACUGAUUCGUGUGAAUUCGCCAGCCAUCACAAUA